AAAUUAUUUGCGCACUGCGUAUACGGACGAUUCGCCGAUUUUGAAUUAGUCAUGUGGGGCAGGUAAACAGGGGCUGUUCGGGUCAUAAGAAAUAUUCAAAAAAUUGCGUACCGCGCUGUAUUUUUUGUGCAAAUAACAAACAAAGGUGAAUUUUAUUAGUUAUUCUACUGGUUAAUUAAUAAAUUAAUAAUGAUUUGAACAAAAAAGUGUUAGUGUAGGCAACCAAUUAAACACGCACUGCGCUAAAAAUUGGAAUUUUGGCGCUUGAAGAAUAAAAACAUGAAACCAGAUUUAAUUGAGUUUUUUAUUGAUUGAGUACCGUUUUGCAUCACGUUGAGUAAAUAUUUGACAUUUGGGAUUCGAACAUUGCCCAAGACCUGUUUGCAUCAAUUUUAAUAAAUUACGAUUUCGCAAUGCAAGUGAUGAGCGAAACAAUUAAAACCUGACCCUGGCUUACAUUGAACAAUUCCGACUUAGCGUUUGUCUCACGUUUAGCUCAAUUUGUUUAUACUCCAGACGUGAUUAAAUAAACCAACAUUCCAAAUCGGUUCGUUACAAUUACAUAAUUGUAGCAGAAAUGAACAAAUCCAUGGCGUAAAAGCGAAAGUAUUAAAUAAAACAGCGAAGGUCGUCCAGGUAUAGCCGACUUGCUCAGAUUGUACAAACUAGUCUUUGUGGGAGAAGUUAUUUUGUGUGGUUCUUGUUGUGAUGAUCACGUUCUUUGGAAUUAUUCAAACUGCGACCAACACUUAAUUAUGUUUAAAGUGCUCCCCAAAACAAACUCUGCAAAUAAUCCAAGGGGGCAUGCUGUCCAUAGCAAUGUAUGAUGACACCUUUCCAAAAUCCCUUUGGAAUUUUAUCGUGUACAUAGUAUUUAUCGUAUUAGGCCCUAUUCUCCUAUUUAUCGCAAUUUUUGUCCCAAAUAUACCCCUCUCAAUUGUACGCAGAAUAUGUUACAUACCGUUCGAGUCAGUCUGAUUUUAUAAAAUUAAGUAUAAGUUAUUUGUAUUUAUGUGUAAACCAUGUAAGCAAUAAAUGUGAUAUUAUUUGUAA